rnacentral:rRNA from 1 species
GGCGUAAAGAGCUCGUANGCGGUUUGUCGCGUCUGCCGUGAAAGUCCGGGGCNUCAACUCCGGAUCUGCGGUGGGUACGGGCAGACUAGAGUGAUGUAGGGGAGACUGGAAUUCCUGGUGUAGCGGUGAAAUGCGCAGAUAUCAGGAGGAACACCGAUGGCGAAGGCAGGUCUCUGGGCAUUAACUGACGCUGAGGAGCGAAAGCAUGGGGAGCGAACAGGAUUAGAUACCCUGGUAGUCCAUGCCGUAAACGUUGGGCACUAGGUGUGGGGGACAUUCCACGUUUUCCGCGCCGUAGCUAACGCAUUAAGUGCCCCGCCUGGGGAGUACGGCCGCAAGGCUAAAACUCAAAGGAAUUGACGGGGGCCCGCACAAGCGGCGGAGCAUGCGGAUUAAUUCGAUGCAACGCGAAGAACCUUACCAAGGCUUGACAUGAACCGGUAACGCCUGGAGACAGGUGCCCCGCUUGCGGUCGGUUUACAGGUGGUGCAUGGUUGUCGUCAGCUCGUGUCGUGAGAUGUUGGGUUAAGUCCCGCAACGAGCGCAACCCUCGUUCUAUGUUGCCAGCACGUGAUGGUGGGGACUCAUAGGAGACUGCCGGGGUCAACUCGGAGGAAGGUGGGGACGACGUCAAAUCAUCAUGCCCCUUAUGUCUUGGGCUUCACGCAUGCUACAAUGGCCGGUACAAAGGGUUGCGAUACUGUGAGGUGGAGCUAAUCCCAAAAAGCCGGUCUCAGUUCGGAUUGGGGUCUGCAACUCGACCCCAUGAAGUCGGAGUCGCUAGUAAUCGCAGAUCAGCAACGCUGCGGUGAAUACGUUCCCNGGGCCUUGUACACACCGCCCCGUCAAGUCACGAAAGUUGGUAACACCCGAAGCCCNGGUGGCCUAACCCCUUGUGGG